rnacentral:lncRNA from 1 species
AUUUUCUGUAUGUUCUUAGUUUGAUUCCAUUAGGGCUAUUUUGGUCGUUUCAAAGACUGUCUUUCCAAAAAAUUAUAUAUCUUUCAGCUAAUUUUUUAUCUACAGCAUUAAAAAGGAAUUUUGUGCUGAAAGUAUUUUUAUGUUUCCAUAUAUGAUUAAAACCUAUUUUUGAAAGAGCAUUUUUUUUUUGACCGCAAAACCAUUAUUUAAAUUUAAACUACAUUUAUAGGCAGUUGAAGCAUACCCGUCUUUUUUGCAUUCAUCAAAUGGCACCAAUAGCCAACAGAAGCCAUUACAGCAUCAAUAGCAAUAGGAAACAUACCUAUUUCUGCUAAAACUGCUGUGUUUACUGCAGCUGUAUUUACACCCAAAGAUAUUUAGCAAUUGUAUUUGAAAUUUUGAUGGUAUAAAAGACACAUAUCUUCAUUCAAGACUUGAAUUAUCUUUAACUAACAUAUCAAGUGCCCAUAUUUCACUGCAAUAAAGUAGUAUAGAUUUAAACAACUUUAAAACAUUUUUAAAUGUGGAUAAAUAUUAAGUUUAUCUGCGAAUAAGGGCUUUCUAAUGCAAAACAUUGCCUUUGAAGCUUUUCUGGUCAUCUGCAUAUAACAAACAAUAAGAUACCAGAGGGACAGUCAAACUCAUAAAUAGUUUCAUUAGUUGUCAGACAAUUGUCUCCAUACCAUUUAGAAAAAUAAAGGCAACAGUAGUAUACCGCUGUUCAAAACUCAUUAAUCCAUGGACAAAAAACAAAAUCGGGGUAACAUUUGCAUUCACCUUUUCUUUCAUCACGUUUUUUUUCCAACUUUCGCUAUGAAUGUGUCAUAGAGUCAUAGUUGAGCACAUUACAUUCUUUAAACUUGUCGGUAUAUUAAAGUAUGGGAAGACAUUGAUUUCUAUUCCAUUAUAUUUGGGUUUUUACCUUAUCAUGCUUAUCUAUUUCUGUCUUUAGUCACUGUGGUUUGUAGAACAAGUUUGUAAAACUGUUUGGAUAUUAUCUAUAUAAGUCUUUAGUGAGUACUGCACGAGCAUUUCAUAGGCGGGAAUACGGGUGGGGUAUAUAAGUCCGAUACCUGGAUAAUUUGUAUCGAGGUGCUCAGAGUAACUUCAAAGUAACAACACGUUCUGCAUAGUAUUUAGUUUAGAAUAGCUAGAUGUGCGUUUGCUGGGAUAUAUUUGUAAUGUCUUAUUAUCAUAAUUAAGUGUUGUAUCGCACAGAAAAUAAGUUACUGCGAGUAAACCAAACCUACAUUUUAUCUUACCAC